rnacentral:rRNA from 1 species
AGCGAACGUUAGCGGCGCGCCUAACACAUGCAAGUCGCACGAGAAACGGAGCAAUCCGCGGUACAGUGGCGCACGGGUGAGUAACACGUGGAUGACCUUCCCUGGAGUGGUGGAUAACCUGCCGAAAGGCGGGCUAAUACAGCAUGGGACCACGACGCUUUGGCGAUGUGGUGAAAGCGGGCCUCUAUAUAUAAGCUCGCGCUCCGGGACGGGUCCGCGUCCCAUCAGCUAGUUGGUGAGGUAACGGCUCACCAAGGCUUCGACGGGUAGCUGGUCUGAGAGGAUGGCCAGCCACACUGGAACUGAGACACGGUCCAGACUCCUACGGGAGGCAGCAGUGGGGAAUCUUGCGCAAUGGGCGAAAGCCUGACGCAGCGACGCCGCGUGGGCGAAGAAGGCUUUCGGGUUGUAAAGCCCUGUGGGGGAGAACGAACCGUACGGGGGCGAAUACCCUCCGUGCCUGACGGUACUCCUUUAGCAAGCAUCGGCUAACUCUGUG